CGUGUAGGCGGGAAUACAAGUCAGAUGUGAAAUACUGCGGCUCAACCACAGAACGGCAUCUGAAACUGUAUUUCUUGAGUACUGGAGAGGAAAGCGGAAUUCCUAGUGUAGCGGUGAAAUGCGUAGAUAUUAGGAGGAACACCGGUGGCGAAGGCGGCUUUCUGGACAGUAACUGACGCUGAGACGCGAAAGCGUGGGGAGUAAACAGGAUUAGAUACCCUGGUAGUCC
rnacentral:rRNA from 1 species